UUUGACCAGAAGGGACUGGCUGCUUUCCCUUGGUGGCUGUUUCUACCUUAUCUUUUCCAUUCUACCUGCUUCCCUGCUGGCUGGUUAAUAUCUACAGAACUUCCUGGCCAGCAUCUCUGAUUAUGUGGACUGUUCUUUUUACAAGAUCAAUCAGUAAAUGACAUUUUGUGACUUCCUGUUUACUUUUCAACUCAGGGGACUUCAUUUCAACUUUUUAUGAAACCCUAAAAAGAAAAAAAAGAUGCAUGAAUUUCUUUUCUUUGAGAAGUCUCUCUUAUAAAUGUUUUGUCAGUACUGAUCAUAAGAGAGAAGAGCAAGCAUGCCUGGAUAGAGCAAAACAUAGCCCAGACACCAUGACUGUAUUUCAAGCAAACUGCUACCAUGUUCACGGUG
rnacentral:lncRNA from 1 species